rnacentral:rRNA from 1 species
ACGGAAGGCAGCAGUGGGGAAUAUUGGACAAUGGGGGAAACCCUGAUCCAGCGACGCCGCGUGAGUGAAGAAGUAUUUCGGUAUGUAAAGCUCUAUCAGCAAGGAAGAAAAUGACGGUACUUGACUAAGAGGCCUCGGCUAACUACGUGCCAGCAGCCGCGGUAAUACGUAGGGGGCAAGCGUUAUCCGGAUUUACUGGGUGUAAAGGGAGCGUAGACGGCAUAGCAAGUCUGAAGUGAAAUGCAUGGGCUCAACCCAUGAACUGCUUUGGAAACUGUUAAGCUAGAGUGCAGGAGAGGUAAGUGGAAUUCCUAGUGUAGCGGUGAAAUGCGUAGAUAUUAGGAGGAACACCAGUGGCGAAGGCGGCUUACUGGACUGUAACUGACGUUGAGGCUCGAAAGCGUGGGGAGCAAACAGGAUUAGAUACCCUGGUA